rnacentral:rRNA from 1 species
UACGGAAGGCAGCAGUGGGGAAUAUUGGACAAUGGGCGCAAGCCUGAUCCAGCCAUGCCGCGUGUGUGAAGAAGGCCUUUUUGGUUGUAAAGCACUUUAAGCGAGGAGGAGGCUCUCUUAGUUAAUACCUAAGAUGAGUGGACGUUACUCGCAGAAUAAGCACCGGCUAACUCUGUGCCAGCAGCCGCGGUAAUACAGAGGGUGCGAGCGUUAAUCGGAUUUUACUGGGCGUAAAGCGUGCGUAGGCGGCUUUUUUAAGUCGGAUGUGAAAUCCCCGAGCUUAACUUGGGAAUUGCAUUCGAUACUGGGAAGCUAGAGUAUGGGAGAGGAUGGUAGAAUUCCAGGUGUAGCGGUGAAAUGCGUAGAGAUCUGGAGGAAUACCGAUGGGCGAAGGGCAGCCAUCUGGGCCUAAUACUGACGCUGAGGUACGAAAGCAUGGGGAGGCAAACAGGAUUAGAUAACC